AUGGAUUGUAAUACUACUCAUCUUGGCCAUCCUCUUAUUUUACCUGGUAAAAAUAGACCUGCACCUUAUAAUUUUAUUAUUGAUAAGUUUAGAGCUAAACUUAAUUGCUAUAAGGCUAACAGGUUGUCUCAUGCAGGAAGACUCACUCUUAUUAAAUCUGUUUUUGCUUCCCUUCCUGUGUAUUACAUGUCUAAUAUCCUUUUAAGUAAAUCCACCAUUAAUAAACUCACUUCCAUAAAUAGAAAGUUCUGGUGGACAGGUAUUGAUAAGGAUAAUGCUUCCGAACCUAUCUGCUUUAGGGCUUGGGAUGAUAUUUGCAAACCUAUGCAUCAAGGUGGUCUAGGCAUUAGAGAUCUUUAUAUGAUGAAUAAGUCUAUGGUU
rnacentral:rRNA from 1 species